UACAGAGGUGGCAAGCGUUGUUCGGAAUUACUGGGCGUAAAGGGCGCGUAGGCGGCCCGUCAAGUCCCGUGUGAAAGCCCCCGGCUCAACCGGGGAACUGCACGGGAAACUAGCAGGCUUGAGUUCGGGAGAGGGAAGCGGAAUUUCGGGUGUAGCGGUGAAAUGCGCGGAUAUCCGAAGGAACACCGGUGGCGAAGGCGGCUUCCUGGACCGACACUGACGCUGAGGCGCGAAAGCUAGGGGAGCAAACGGG
rnacentral:rRNA from 1 species